rnacentral:rRNA from 1 species
CACAUGCAGUCGACGGCAGCACAGAGGAGCUUGCUCCUUGGGUGGCGAGUGGCGGACGGGUGAGGAAUACAUCGGAAUCUACUCUGUCGUGGGGGAUAACGUAGGGAAACUUACGCUAAUACCGCAUACGACCUACGGGUGAAAGCAGGGGAUCUUCGGACCUUGCGCGAUUGAAUGAGCCGAUGUCGGAUUAGCUAGUUGGCGGGGUAAAGGCCCACCAAGGCGACGAUCCGUAGCUGGUCUGAGAGGAUGAUCAGCCACACUGGAACUGAGACACGGUCCAGACUCCUACGGGAGGCAGCAGUGGGGAAUAUUGGACAAUGGGCGCAAGCCUGAUCCAGCCAUACCGCGUGGGUGAAGAAGGCCUUCGGGUUGUAAAGCCCUUUUGUUGGGAAAGAAAUCCAGCCGGCUAAUACCUGGUUGGGAUGACGGUACCCAAAGAAUAAGCACCGGCUAACUUCGUGCCAGCAGCCGCGGUAAUACGAAGGGUGCAAGCGUUACUCGGAAUUACUGGGCGUAAAGCGUGCGUAGGUGGUCGUUUAAGUCCGUUGUGAAAGCC